rnacentral:misc_RNA from 1 species
UUUCCGUAGGUGAACCUGCGGAAGGAUCAUUAAUUAUAUAAGGCCACAUGUAAAGCUUUCCGAAAGGAUCGAGCUUGCUGUGUGAACCCUACCUACCCUUGCUUUUUGCGUACCCAUUGUUUCCUCGGCAGGCUUGCCUGCCAGUAGGACCCUCUUUAAUCCUUUGUACUUGCAGUCAGCGUCAGAAACAACGUAAUCGUUACAACUUUCAACAACGGAUCUCUUGGUUCUG